UACCAGCACCCCGAGUGGUCGGGACGAUUAUUGGGCCUAAAGCAUCCGUAGCCGGUCCUGCAAGUCUUCCGUUAAAUCCAGCUGCUCAACAGAUGGGCUGCGGGGGAUACUACAGGGCUAGGAGGCGGGAGAGGCAAGCGGUACUUUAUGGGUAGGGGUAAAAUCCGUUGAUCCAUAGAAGACCACCAGUGGCGAAGGCGGCUUGCCAGAACGCGCUCGACGGUGAGGGAUGAAAGCUGGGGGAGCGAACCGG
rnacentral:rRNA from 1 species